CGCUCCCAGGACUGUAUCCAGAGAGCCACGGGAAUGGUGGCCUUCAGGCCAAAGCUGAAGGAGGGCAUCUCAUAAGCAGUUGCCUCCAGGAUUUGGCAUAUCCUGGCAACAAACUCUUGCUACUCCUGUUAUUUCUCUGUGCAUUGGGGAGCUUGGGGAGACUGAAGAGAGACAGCCUUCUGGCCAUUGCCUGACCUGAACUUGACAUAUAUAUCACUUUGUCUACCUAUGUCCUGCUGACUAAUGUGUGUGCCUUGAUAACUUCUGCUUCAACUUAUCAGAUGGGUCUCAAAGACUGUGUAGGAUGUCAACGGGCAAAAAUGAUGGUGACAUUAGAAGGAAGGCGGAAGCUUCCUCUGGCAAUAAAGAUCGCCACAACAUGCACUCUGGAGCCCCAAAGGGGAGCAUCAUGUUCUCUGUCCUCCCAACUCCCACCACACCAGGAUGAUGGAUUCUCUGGCCAUGCAGAAAUGCUCAAGGCUUCCCUUUUUCAUUUUAUGAAUUCCUGUCCCCAGAAGAAUUGUGUUGAAUAGCAAUACUAAAGUUGCUCUUCAUGGUGAUACCUAUUACCAACUUAGAUCCAUAGGCUUCUUUAGCAGCCAUUUUACA